rnacentral:rRNA from 1 species
GAUGAACGCUAGCGAUAGGCCUAACACAUGCAAGUCGAGGGGCAUCACAUGAAGUAGCAAUACGGAUGGUGGCGACCGGCGCACGGGUGAGUAACACGUAUGCAACCUGCCUUCAACAAGGGGAUAACCCGUUGAAAGACGGACUAAUACCCUAUAACACAGGGGUCCCGCAUGGGAAUAUUUGUUAAAGGACAACCGGUUGAAGAUGGGCAUGCGUUCCAUUAGCUAGUUGGCGGGGUAAGGCCCACCAAGGCAACGAUGGAUAGGGGAACUGAGAGGUUUAUCCCCCACACUGGUACUGAGACACGGACCAGACUCCUACGGGAGGCAGCAGUGAGGAAUAUUGGUCAAUGGACGCAAGUCUGAACCAGCCACGUCGCGUGAAGGAAGACGGCCCUACGGGUUGUAAACUUCUUUUGCAAGGGAAUAAAGUGGGCCACGUGUGGCCUUUUGCAAGUACCUUGCGAAUAAGGAUCGGCUAACUCCGUGCCAGCAG